AAUACUCUGGUAUCUUCGUGGAAAUCUUGGGAGUCUCCUUGUUUAAAUCAAUCCAGUGUCAAAGACAUCUGUUCCCUCAUUUUCUGAUUUACUGCCAAAGAUACUCCUGCCUAUUCUAUUCUCAACUAAAUCUCUUUUCAUCUCCAAUUCUUAAUCAAUCACGCCUUCCUGAUUGCACCACAUGCAUAUCCACUAUAACACCAAGGGCUUAAGUUUGCUGUCUCCAAGUGUCAAUCAAUGAUCUUCUCACCAGUUGAAAAGGCAUUCCAAACUACUGUUCCAACCAAGUAAAGCCCAACUGAAACUUUAAACACAUCAUCCCAAGAACUGCAAAUAAGGCCUCCCCCAAGAGUGGAAAGCGU
rnacentral:misc_RNA from 1 species